rnacentral:rRNA from 1 species
AUGAAGGCCUUCGGGUCGUAAAGUUCUGUUGUGAGGGAAGAACAAGGAUCGUGCGAACAGAACGGUCCCUUGACGGUACCUCACGAGGAAGCCCCGGCUAACUACGUGCCAGCAGCCGCGGUAAUACGUAGGGGGCAAGCGUUGUCCGGAAUUAUUGGGCGUAAAGGGCACGCAGGCGGUUCCUUAAGUCUGAUGUGAAAGCCCGUGGCUCAACCACGGAGGGCCAUUGGAAACUGGGGAACUUGAGAACUGAAGAGGAGAGUGGAAUUCCACGUGUAGCGGUGAAAUGCGUAGAUAUGUGGAGGAACACCAGUGGCGAAGGCGACUCUCUGGUCGGUUUCUGACGCUGAGGUGCGAAAGCGUGGGUAGCAAACAGGAUUAGAUACCCUGGUAGUCCACGCCGUAAACGAUGAGUGCUAGGUGUUAGGGGGCUUCCACCCCUUAGUGCUGAAGUUAACGCAUUAAGCACUCCGCCUGGGGAGUACGGCCGCAAGGCUGAAACUCAAAG